rnacentral:rRNA from 1 species
UACGUAGGGACCGAGCGUUGUCCGGAAUCAUUGGGCGUAAAGAGCGUGUAGGCGGCUUGUUAAGUCUUGCGUGAAAUCUCGGGGCUCAACCCCGAGCGGUCGUGAGAAACUGGCAGGCUAGAGUGCGGGAGAGGAGAGUGGAAUUCCCAGUGUAGAGGUGAAAUUCGUAGAUAUUGGGAAGAACACCGGUGGCGAAGGCGGCUCACUGGCUCAUUACUGACGCUCAGGCGCGAUAGCGUGGGGAUCAAACAGG